rnacentral:rRNA from 1 species
CAGUCGCCGCGGUAACACGUAGGUGGCAAGCGUUGUCCGGAAUUAUUGGGCGUAAAGGGCUCGCAGGCGGUUUCUUAAGUCUGAUGUGAAAGCCCCCGGCUCAACCGGGGAGGGUCAUUGGAAACUGGGAAACUUGAGUGCAGAAGGGGAGAGUGGAAUUCCACGUGUAGCGGUGAAACGCGUAGAGAUGUGGAGGAACACCAGUGGCGAAGGCGACUCUCUGGUCCGUGACUGACGCUGAGGAGCGAAAGCGUGGGGAGCGAACAGGAUUAGAUACCCGUGUAGUCCCUGUCUCUUAUAC